UCGAGGGGCAGCAUGGUCUUAGCUUGCUAAGGCCGAUGGCGACCGGCGCACGGGUGAGUAACGCGUAUCCAACCUGCCUUACACUCUUGGACAGCCUUCUGAAAGGGAGAUUAAUACAAGAUGUUAUCAUGAGUAAGCAUUUUCGCAUGAUUAAAGGUUUACCGGUGUAAGAUGGGGAUGCGUUCCAUUAGAUAGUAGGCGGGGUAACGGCCCACCUAGUCUUCGAUGGAUAGGGGUUCUGAGAGGAAGGUCCCCCACAUUGGAACUGAGACACGGUCCAAACUCCUACGGGAGGCAGCAGUGAGGAAUAUUGGUCAAUGGACGAGAGUCUGAACCA
rnacentral:rRNA from 1 species